GGUCUUAUAUUCAUAUUAUAUGAUAAUAGAAUGCAAUUCUGUAGGAGUAAAUUGUUACUAAGGCUU
rnacentral:tRNA from 1 species